rnacentral:rRNA from 1 species
UCGAGGAUCUUCCACAAUGGGCGAAAGCCUGAUGGAGCGACGCCGCGUGAGGGAUGAAGGCCCUUUGGGUUGUAAACCUCUGUUAGGGGAGAAGAACAGCGGGGGGAGCAACAUGCCCUCCGCCUGACGUUAUCUCCAGAGAAAGCUCCGGCCAACUCCGUGCCAGCAGCCGCGGUAAUACGGGGGGAGCGAGCGUUGUCCGGAAUCAUUGGGCGUAAAGGGCGUGUAGGCGGCAGGGCAAGUCGAAUGUGAAAUCCCACGGCUCAACCGUGGAACUGCGUUCGAAACUGCCUUGCUUGAGUGCGGGAGAGGUGUGCGGAAUUCCUGGUGUAGCGGUGGAAUGCGUAGAUAUCAGGAAGAACACCGGUGGCGAAGGCGGCACACUGGCCUAGCACUGACGCUGAGGCGCGAAAGCGUGGGGAGCGAACGG